rnacentral:rRNA from 1 species
UACGUAGGGCGCAAGCGUUAUCCGGAAUUAUUGGGCGUAAAGAGCUCGUAGGCGGUUUGUCGCGUCUGCCGUGAAAGUCCGGGGCUCAACUCCGGAUCUGCGGUGGGUACGGGGCAGACUAGAGUGAUGUAGGGGAGACUGGAAUUCCUGGUGUAGCGGUGAAAAUGCGCAGAUAUCAGGAGGAACACCGAUGGCGAAGGCAGGUCUCUGGGCAUUAACUGACGCUGAGGAGCGAAAAGCAUGGGGGAGCGAACAGG